AAAAAAAAAAAAAAAAAAAAAAAAAAAAAGAAGAGAAAGAAAGAAAAUCAAUAUAAAAAUAAAAAUACCUUCCGAGAAUACCGUGAACCAUAAUAACCAGAUGAUCAACAGAACCAUCGGACUGUUUACAGCUAAAAAGAUCCUCCCCUCCGUUCUCCUUUCCCGAUGAACACGAGAAGCCCUCUUUACCUUCGUUUUCCAUUUCUCCUUCAAUUUAUUUGAUUAAUUUCUUUCUUAAUUUAAUCCAACUUCACCGACUUCACAUAAAACAAAACUGAAAAAUGCAAUAAUUAUAGGUUACAGUUUAUGAAAUCAAAAUUUCUUUUUGUAUCAAAUUGGAGUUAAGAAUUAAUGAGCUUAAGAUAUCUUACAAGAUUUGCAUCUUUCCUGCUACGUCUGGUGCACUGACUACUUUUAUGCAUGUGAGGAAUCGGGUCGAGUUCGGUAUUUGGACACGUUCAUGGUUCGAAUAGUGUUAUUGGAUAAUGUAAUAUGGAUAUUUG
rnacentral:lncRNA from 1 species